rnacentral:rRNA from 1 species
UCCUACGGGGGGCAGCAGUGGGGGAUAUUGCACAAUGGGGGAAACCCUGAUGCAGCGACGCCGCGUGGGUGAAGAAGCGCCUCGGCGCGUAAAGCCCUGUCAGCAGGGAAGAAAAUGAUGGUACCUGAAGAAGAAGCCCCGGCUAACUACGUGCCAGCAGCCGCGGUAAUACGUAGGGGGCAAGCGUUAUCCGGAUUUACUGGGUGUAAAGGGGGCGCAGACGGCGAUGCAAGCCAGGAGUGAAAGCCCGGGGCCCAACCCCGGGACUGCUCUUGGAACUGCGUGGCUAGUGUGCAGGAGGGGCA